rnacentral:misc_RNA from 1 species
GAUGAAGAACGCAGUGAAAUGCGAUAAGUAAUGUGAAUUGCAGAAUUCCGUGAAUCAUCGAAUCUUUGAACGCACAUUGCGCCCGCCAGUAUUCUGGCGGGCAUGCCUGUUCGAGCGUCAUUUCAACCCUCAAGCACAGCUUGGUGUUGGGACUCGCGUUAAUUCGCGUUCCCCAAAUUGAUUGGCGGUCACGUCGAGCUUCCAUAGCGUAGUAGUAAAACCCUCGUUACUGGUAAUCGUCGCGGCCACGCCGUUAAACCCCAACUUCUGAAUGUUGACCUCGGAUCAGGUAGGAAUACCCGCUGAACUUAAGCAUAUCAAUAAGCGGAGGA